rnacentral:rRNA from 1 species
GACGAACGCUGGCGGCGUGCUUAACACAUGCAAGUCGAACGGAAAGGCCCUGCUUGCGGGGUACUCGAGUGGCGAACGGGUGAGUAACACGUGGGUGUUCUGCCCUCCACUUCUGGAUAAGCCUGCAAAACUGGGUCUAAUACCGCGUAGAGGCCAUUUUUAUUCUUGUGGUUGGAAAGAUUUUUCGGUGUAGGAUGAGCUCGCGGCCUGUCUGCUUGUUGGUGGGGUAAUGGCCUACCAAGGCGGCGUCGGGUAGCCGGCCUGGGGGGGUGGACGGCCAAAUUGGGACCGGGGUAAGGCCCAGAACCCGUAGGGGGGCAGGAGGGGGGAAUAUUGCACAAAGGGGGCAAGCCGGAUGCAGCGAAGCCGCGGGGGGGAAGACGGGCUUCGGGUUGGAAAACCCUUUCGCUAGGGAAGAAGCUUUUUGUGACGGUACCUAGAUAAGAAGCACCGGCUAACUACGUG